CGCCACGCUCGCUGGCUGGCCGGGUGCGGGCGCCGGGCUCCCGCCGGAGGAGAGGACAACCAGCGCCGCCGCCGCCGCUCGGGUCCGGGUCCGGGCCCGGGUUCCGGCCCCGUCCCGGGCCCCGGCCACAACCCCCUGCCGGGCCCGGCCAUGAAGUGUCACUACGAGGCGCUGGGGGUGCGGCGCGACGCCAGCGAGGAGGAGCUCAAGAAGGCCUAUCGGAAGCUGGCCCUGAAAUGGCACCCGGAUAAAAAUCUGGAUAACGCCGCAGAAGCAGCUGAACAAUUUAAAUUAAUUCAAGCAGCAUAUGAUGUGUUGAGCGACCCUCAGGAAAGAGCAUGGUAUGAUAAUCAUAGAGAGGCCUUACUUAAAGGAGGGCUUGAUGGAGAAUACCAAGAUGACAGCUUAGAUUUGCUUCACUAUUUCACUGUUACCUGUUAUUCUGGUUAUGGAGACGAUGAAAAGGGUUUUUACACAGUGUAUCGUAGUGUUUUUGAAAUGAUUGCAAAGGAAGAACUGGAAUCUGUGUUAGAGGAGGAUGUUGAGGAUUUCCCAACUUUUGGAGACUCCCAGAGUGACUAUGAUAAGGUAGUCCACCCUUUCUACGCUUAUUGGCAGAGUUUCUGCACCCAAAAGAAUUUUGCUUGGAAGGAAGAAUAUGAUACACGGCAAGCUUCAAACCGCUGGGAAAAACGAGCCAUGGAAAAAGAAAACAAAAAGAUUCGAGACAAAGCAAGGAAAGAGAAGAAUGAGCUUGUUCGGCAGCUGGUAGCUUUCAUCCGGAAAAGAGAUAAAAGAGUGCAGGCACAUCGGAAGCUUGUAGAGGAACAGAAUGCAGAGAAGGCGAGGAAGGCUGAGGAGAUGAGACGGCAACAGAAACUAAAGCAGGCAAAACUGGCAGAACAGUACAGAGAACAGAGCUGGAUGACCGUGGCCGAUUUGGAGAAGGAACUCCGGGAGAUGGAAGCACGAUAUGAAAAGGAGUUUGGAGAUGGAUCAGAUGAUAAUGAAAUGGAGCAGCAUGAGCUUAAAGAUGGACAAGAUGGUAAAGAUAGUGAUGAGGCGGAGGAUACUGAGCUUUAUGAUGACCUUUACUGCCCAGCAUGUGACAAAUCUUUCAAGACAGAAAAGGCCAUGAAGAAUCAUGAAAAGUCAAAGAAGCAUCGGGAAAUGGUUGCCUUGUUAAAACAACAAUUGGAGGAAGAAGAAGAAAAUUUUUCAGGAUCUCAUAUAGAUGAAAAUCUAUUGAAUGCCAAUUCCGAGGAAGAAAUAGAAGACACAACAAAGCAAAAGCUUUCUAAAAAACAGAAGAAAAAGAAACAAAAACCGGCACAGAAUUAUGAUGACAAUUGUAAUGAAAAUGGACCUGGAGAAGGAAUAAAGGUUGAUCCAGAAAAUAUCAACUUAAAUCAAGACAGUGCCAAAAAAUUAGAAGAUAGUCCCCAAGAAAAUGUCAAUGUCACAGAGACCAUUGAACCUUGUGAUGAUCCAAAAAGUGAAGCUAAAAGUGUUCCUAAGCCCAAAGGAAAGAAAACCAAAGAUGUGAAAAAAACUGUCAAAAUACCUGCUGAACCACAAAUACUGAGUGAUAUUCUUAUCAGCUGUACAACCUGCCAUAGUGAAUUUCCAUCCCGGAAUAAACUUUUUGACCAUCUGAAAGCUACCGGUCAUGCAAGAGCACCUCCAUCUUCAUCUUUAACCAGUGUAACAAGUAGUCGAAGCAAGAAAGAGAAACGUAAAAACAGAUAGAAAUUCUGCCAACACACUUUUUUUUUAAACUGUCUCUAAAUUUUGAAACCAAAAACUGAACUGAAAUCAUCUAAAGAGUUAAAAUUUCAGUGAUCUGCAAUUUAUUGCAUUGUGGAAGAUUAUUUUUUAUCUUAUAAAGACAUUUUUUUGUUUAAUAUAUAUAUUUUUAAACAUUUCACUAGUGAUUGAAUUCUACUUUUGCCGUCUGAAUUGACUUGAAUGUCUCAAAACAGAACAGAGAAUUUCUUUAAAAUCAGACAUGAAAACACAACAUUUACAGUAAAUAGGAUUGCAUCACACCUAAAACUUCUGUAGAACAAUAGGCACUUAAGUAAAAAUACAAGCUGCUGACUGGAGAAAAUGUUUGCAGUACACAUAACUGACAAGGUCAGUAUCUUGAAUACACUGGAAAAACCUAAGAACCUCCUGCAAAUCAGUGAGAAAUGACAAUUGUGUGUUAGAAUAGCAGUGCUCACCCAUUUUGGUCCUGAACCCCUUUACAAAUUUAUGUAUUUGUCUAUUAUUUAAUUAUUUAAAUAAUUAAAGAGACACUAGAUUGGGUUCAAGGAACUUGUCCUCCUGCUUCGGCCUUUUGAGUAGCUAGGAUUACAGAUGUCCAUUACAACCUCCCAGUCCCUUUAUACUUUAAAAAAUUGAUAACCCAGAGUUUUUGUGUAUGUGGAUCAUACGUGUUAGAAUUAAAAUUGAGAAAAUUUUUUAAAAGUAAAAAAAAUACAUGCUAAAUAUAAAGUUUAGUGAGAAGAAUACCAUUGUUUUACAUUUUAUAAAUCUUUUUAAUGUUUAACUUAAGAGGGCUGGACUCUCCUACCUGCAGAGCAAUCAAUCCGUUUCUAUAUGUUUUAGUUAAAUACAUGAAGAUAAUAUAGCCUUACAUAGCUAUGUAAUUGGAAAAGGAGGGGCUUUUGCAGACCCUUGCCAAAUGUGUCUCAGAGCCCUUGGAUCACACUUGGAACUGCUGCAUUAGAGAAAUGGGUAUACUAUACAAAUGGAAAAAAAGCUUAAAUAGUUAAAAACCAUGAAAAGAGUAUCAUUAUCAUAAUAAUCAGGGAAAUGUGACUUUAUUGUUUCAUGCUUUCAGAUUGCUAAGAUUCUCACAAGAUCAAGUGUUGGUGAGAAUUUGGAAAUGGAAACAUUCACUUCAUUUGGAGUGAAAUUUGUUCAAUUUGAUGAUGUCUGAGAAAGUUGAUGAUGUACACGCCCUAUAACCCAGCAAUUCUCAGUAUGUACUAGAACCCCACUUUGUAAAACAUUCUCAACACCACAUAAAAAUAAAUAAAGAUAUUGUGUCCAACUACAACUAAAAAAUAAAUAUUAAAAAAAAAAAAAAAACAGGCCUGGGAUUAUGGCUCACCGGUAGAGCGCUUGCCUAGAAUGUGUGAGGCACUGGGUUCAAUCCUCAGCAUCUACAUAAAAAAGGAAAAAGUUAUCUUAAAAAUAAAUAAAUAAAAAAUAAAAAUGCAACUCUCAGUCACUGUCUUGGACCUGAGUCAGAUCUGUAGUUACCAAGAUAUUUCAGGUGACUCAAGCUCAUUAAAGCUUGAGAAGCAGAACUUUAGAGAAACCCGUGCAGAGUGUAUAAAGAGACGGCCAACAGCAGGAUUGUUUGUACCGAGGAAAAUGGAAAUAACCUAAAUGCCUAUUAACAAGAAAAUAGAUAAAUAAAUUGUGGCCAAUUUAUAAGAUGGGAAACAAUUGACCAGUAAAAAUGAAUGAAUAAUAUCAAAUGUGGAUAGUCCUGGGGAAAAAAAAUUGACUGAAAAUAAGCUGUCAAGGAGGAUAAAACUGCCAUUUAUGCAGUUUUUAGAAAUCCUAUGUCAAUUGUUAUUCACAGAAAAAAAGCAUAGAGAGCUUGGG